rnacentral:pre_miRNA from 1 species
AUUACAAUUGCUGUGUGUUACGGUAAAGUUAUUUUUACCUUUGUAAGAAACUGCCAGACUCUAUUGCAAAGUGGCUGUACCAUUUUACAUUUACACCAGUAAU